rnacentral:rRNA from 1 species
CCUAACACAUGCAAGUCGAACGGUAACAGGAAGAAGCUUGCUUCUUUGCUGACGAGUGGCGGACGGGUGAGUAAUGUCUGGGAAACUGCCUGAUGGAGGGGGAUAACUACUGGAAACGGUAGCUAAUACCGCAUAACGUCGCAAGACCAAAGAGGGGGCCUUCGGGCCUCUUGCCAUCGGAUGUGCCCAGAUGGGAUUAGCUAGUAGGUGGGGUAACGGCUCACCUAGGCGACGAUCCCUAGCUGGUCUGAGAGGAUGACCAGCCACACUGGAACUGAGACACGGUCCAGACUCCUACGGGAGGCAGCAGUGGGGAAUAUUGCACAAUGGGCGCAAGCCUGAUGCAGCCAUGCCGCGUGUAUGAAGAAGGCCUUCGGGUUGUAAAGUACUUUCAGCGGGGAGGAAGGGAGUAAAGUUAAUACCUUUGCUCAUUGACGUUACCCGCAGAAGAAGCACCGGCUAACUCCGUGCCAGCAGCCGCGGUAAUACGGAGGGUGCAAGCGUGAAUCGGACUUACUGGGCGUAAAGC